UACGUAGGUGGCAAGCGUUGUCCGGAUUUAUUGGGUUUAAAGGGUGCGUAGGUGGCCCUGUAAGUCAGUGGUGAAAUAUCUCAGCUUAACUGAGAGGGUGCCAUUGAUACUGCAGGGCUUGAGUACAGAUGAGGUAGGCGGAGUUGACGGUGUAGCGGUGAAAUGCAUAGAUAUCGUCAAGAACACCGAUAGCGAAGGCAGCUUACCAAGCUGUAACUGACACUGAGGCACGAAAGUGUGGGGAUCAAACAGG
rnacentral:rRNA from 1 species